rnacentral:lncRNA from 1 species
AUGUUUCUGAUAAGUAUUUCAAAGCCUGAUGAAGGAUCUGCAAUAAACUUUUCUUAUUCUAUGUGGUUCGAACUGCAAAAGCGGCCACACCGACUGUCCUUCACAGCUUGCGUCUCUUUUAUUCCCUGUAGGGUUGUUUCAGGUGAGCGGAACACGCACAGGACAAUAGCUUCACAGUCUAGUGCUCCCUUUAAACUUCAUUAUUUGCACACCUCCCCGUCCAAUACCCUGCUCCAUGCGAGUCACGGGGCGGUGUAUAUCUCUCUGUUAUCAGCAGCCUACUGGGCAGCCCUGAGAUAAUGAAAUAAUCGCAUUUCUUUCUUAGGAGGGGUUUUCGUUGCCAUUUCCAUAGGGAUUGCCAUUUCCCCUUGAGUGCCACUGAAUGCCAAAUCUCAAUGGAGCUCAAUUCUAGUGGUUUGCGUCCCCCAACUCUCUCUCUCCCCCCCCCUUAUCUUUUCACAUUCUUACCGGACAGAAAGAGAGAUCUGUAGUUCUGUUUUAUUUGAAAUAUGACUUCAUGAGCUUGCCUGUCCCUUUUAUAGGAGCUUUUCUCUCCCUUGUGGGGAUGAAGGUUUGUCUGCUCUUUCCCUGCAGCUGGGGGAAAGGGACCUUUUCUAGUUCUACUCUGAACAGAAAUCCUGUCUCCUUUUCUGGUCAGUGUUGGUUUCAGCUAGGAGGGAUUGAGUUAAAUUGUGGCAUGUAAACUGAGCGAUUUCCUAGCUUUUGACAGAACAUCGCCUCGUGUUUUAUGGCUGCCAAGGGGCAAAGUCUGCAGUCAACAGUGUACCUUCCAAAGGGGUGGAACAAUUAGACACCAAGCAACUCGACCAUGAAAAGAGCAGCACAUCGAUGUGCCACCACAAUGGCAAGUGAACCAAAGGGGGGCGGAGAGGAGACGAGUACAAAAAGAAACAGAGAAAGUCAACAGGAGACCUCACUGACCCACACACACGCUGAUCAAACACAACGGGGAGGAAGCAACAGAUUGAGGAACCUAAAGUCCACCUGAGGGGCGCGCAGUUAAUAAUUGACUAGGGGUGUAGUAGCAUCAGCAAACACAACGCAAUUGAA